rnacentral:tRNA from 1 species
AUCUGUUUAGUAUAUGAGUAUUUUUGACUUCCAAUCAAAAGGUUUGGGUAUCCCAAAACAGAUA